UACGUAGGGGGCUAGCGUUGUCCGGAUUUAUUGGGCGUAAAGAGCGUGUAGGCGGCCCGGUAAGUCCGCUGUGAAAGUCGGGGGCUCAACCCUCGAAUGCCGGUGGAUACUGUCGGGCUAGAGUGCGGAAGAGGCGAGUGGAAUUCCUGGGGUAGCGGUGAAAUGCGCAGAUAUCAGGAGGAACACCAAUUGCGAAGGCAGCUCGCUGGGACGUAACUGACGCUGAGACGCGAAAGCGUGGGGAGCAAACAGG
rnacentral:rRNA from 1 species